UGGGGAAUAUUGCACAAUGGGCGAAAGCCUGAUGCAGCGACGCCGCGUGGGGGAUGACGGCCUUCGGGUUGUAAACCCCUUUCAGCAGGGAAGAAGCGCAAGUGACGGUACCUGCAGAAGAAGCCCCGGCUAACUACGUGCCAGCAGCCGCGGUAAUACGUAGGGGGCAAGCGUUGUCCGGAUUUAUUGGGCGUAAAGAGCGUGUAGGCGGUUUGGUAGGUCCGCUGUGAAAACUCGAGGCUCAACCUCGAGACGCCGGUGGAAACCAUCAAACUAGAGUCCGGAAGAGGAGAGUGGAAUUCCUGGUGUAGCGGUGAAAUGCGCAGAUAUCAGGAAGAACACCCGUGGCUAAGGCGGCUCUCUAGUACGGUACUGACGCUGAGACGCGAAAGCGUGGGGAGCGAACAGGAUUAGAUACC
rnacentral:rRNA from 1 species